rnacentral:misc_RNA from 1 species
GUGAGUCAUCGAAUCUUUGAACGCACCUUGCACCCUUUGGUAUUCCGAAGGGUACGCCCGUUUGAGUGUCAUUGUAUUCUCACCACAUCCCAUUUUCGUAAUGUGGGUGGCGGUGGACCUGGACGCAUUGCCGUGGUCUUCAUGGCUCGUCCCAAAUGCAGGAGUGUGACCCCCCUUUGUCGGUGUCAUCCGGUGUGAUAAGCAUCUUCACUGGAGUAUCUCCGGAGGACAGUGUCCUUUGGAGAGCAUCGUUGGGGAGUGGGAAUGCUGCCAACCGUCUUUUCGAAGACAAUCCCUUGACUAUUUGACCUCAAAUCGGGUGGGACUACCCGCUGAACUUAAGCAUAUCAAUAAGCGGAGGA